CGCCGCAGAAACUACUAACCAGCGUUGUUUUCUCUCCCCGGUUCUGGAUGGCAGGGAUGAGACGCAGAAACAGCGGUCCAACAAGACGAUACAGGAUGAGCCAGAGAGGGACAGCCACGUCAGCCAAUCAGAAGUGAGCGCCUGAAGGAGGAGAGGAGAAGAGCCGCGAUGGGAGUAACCCAAAACCAUCCCAGCGAACCUCCCUGCGCUUCUGAAAAAGGAAACUCACAGCAGCAAAGGUCCAACUCGUGAUGUGAUGAAUCACCACGGCGAUGAUUCACUUUACAGAAAUAAGAAAAGUCAAUGUGGGAGCAGUUGGAGCCAGAGGCGAUCAAUAACGCCGCUCCGAAACAUGUCAGCCGCUGAUUGGCUGGAGCUGUUUGAAGUCCAGGCCUGCUGAGCAGAUCUUAAGUAACAUCUUGUCUUUGAUUCAUUAUUCAUCUAAUCCAUGAGAGGAAACGUAUCGACAAAAUCUCUGGGUCAAAUGACGCCCCGGGUCAGGCUGCUCCAGAAGCACCUGUAGCUUAAUUUGGGAAAUAUCAUAAAAACAACCAGAUUAAUGAUGCUGUUGAAAUGGCUCCAGUGACAUUCCUGUCUCACAAACUUUGCUGAAUCAUAUUUUUUAUGACUCUAAGGAAGGUUUUGUUUUUCAUGUUGUAAAACAUUUUCAGGUGAUUUGGCUUGAAAAUGAAACCCCAACCUCAUAACUGUAAAACGUUACUCUCAGAGUAAAACUGGAUCGCUUGAAUUUGUGCUGUCUGACCUUCAACACGUCAAAACAAUAAGUGGCGUAACAAUUUAAUUUUCUGAGGGUCAAGGUUUUCUGUGAGAGACUGUAUAACAUAUCAGCUUCACUUUCGGAAAUAAAAUAUUGAACUCUUUCAUGAUAUUUUGAUUUUCGAGAUGCAUUUGCACUGUUCCAGCUGUAAACCAGGGAUUUACCAAUAUAUUCACCUUGUAGUAAAUAAUCUACCAUGAAAUUUUAAAGCCCUUCAUGUUCAGCUGACAGGAUGUAUACAGAGGCUGAUUUAAUUUUCCAACCA